AUGUGCGGGAGCUCGAGGGCGAGAGGAAGCCGGAGACGGCGCGGGGCAGCGGCCUGCAGGUGGGGAGAGCUGGAGGCACGCUGGCCCAGGCGUGGUGAACACGAGGCGAGCGAGCUGCUCUGUUCGUUACUAAAGAACAGAGGCAGCAGCAGGUUCAUGGCGAUGUACAAGACAGCGAGUCGGCGACACAAGAGGUUCUGGCGACGGGGCAGCGGGAACCGGCCGGAACGGGGCGGAUCCAGUCGGCCGGCGUCGGUUCCGGGCAACGGCGGUGGUCGACAGAGCUCGGGCGCGGAGCUCAGCCAUCCAUGGCGUACUGUCCAUGGUGCACAGAGAGAGAGGUUAGAGAGAGGGGGGAAAACGCAGGCUUCUUUCCAAUCUAUCCGUGCACGUGUGGUAUUGGUUGCUAGACACAAAGGCAUACACAAAUCUUUGCUCGUGCCAUUAUUUAUUCAGGAAGCACCUAGCAGUGUAAUCUCAUGCAUCAAGGACAUGAAAAUAUAUUUUUCUCUCAGAGCACAAUGUCAACCAUAUGAUAUCAUGGCACUCGGCAUAUGCGAGGAAUUGUACUCGGCAUAUACAAGUGCUAUACGGAAGGGGUGA
rnacentral:rRNA from 1 species